rnacentral:lncRNA from 1 species
CUGCCGCGUGCGCGCUCCCGGUGAGUGCGCCCCUUCGAGUGGGCCCGGGCCAGACGUCGCCGGCGGGCUUGCCUUGGCAGCGCAUGCGUGCUCCGGGUGCCUGUGGAGGAGGGGAAGGGAAGGGAGGGGGAGAAGGAGAGCGGCAGUAGCGGUAAAUUUUGGGGGGUGGGUGGGUGGCGUCGCUCGCGGCCUCGGGUGCUGCCGGCGCCGGGAACCGCCGUGUCUCGGGGACGCAGCCGAGAAGCUGCUGAAACUCAAAAGCUGAUUCUGCCACAUUCUAAGAUGCCUUCAGGAGAUUCUGCAUAUCUCCUUAAUCAGUCUUCAGAGUUUGGUUUCACUAGAUGUCACCCGUCUUCAUUUUGAAUUCAGGUAUGCUAGCUUUUAUCUUAUAAUUUUCAUUCUUAUAAGGAGUAAAAAAAGCUACUAAAAAAAUUAAAUCCACAUGUACUUUCAUUACAGCAAUUUUUGGUAUUUCUCAAAGUUAAUGCUUGAAAG